GAACAUUGUAAAAAAUCCAUGCUCCUGCUUCCGAGAGAGGAUGUGCUGCCUGGCCCAAGGGAAGCUCUCUGCACUCAAGGAACCAGCCACCAAGCUUUUUUGACAAUUUUACACGGUACACAAGAGGGAACUCUGCCUUGGGCAGAAGUACAUAAUUUUCACGUGAGUGGUUGUGGAGUCCAUCUUGUUGCUCUCAUGGUUGCAUUCGCUCUUUUUUCCGCCCAUGGAUUUGGGAAUGCUGACACUACUAAGUGGCAUGGAAAGAGUGUCAUGAUGGAGAUCCCAAACUCC